CAUGCAGGAGAACUAUGAGAAUGUGACCUCGCUAGGGUUUCCAGUUUCCAAACGUCAUAUAAUCUCCCAUCUGGAACAAGGAGAAGAGCCAUGGGUCCCAGACCUCCAUGGUUCAGAGGAUAGAUGGAUCCUGAGAGCUCCCUGCACAGCAGAUGAUGCAAUGGUAGGUGAGAAAAAGGAGCAGAAUUAUCAGCAGGAAAAUGUCGAGCAAGUGGAUAAACACAGAGAAUUAUCGCAAAGAUAAAAAAGAAAUGUGUCGAAGAGUCAUGAGCAGAGAAAAUCAUGCAAGCCUCAGCACACACCAGAAAGAGAGCAGGGAAAGCAGCCAGGAGAGAAAAUGGGUAAAUUUAUUUUCUGUCGGGGAUCUCAGAAGAGCGUCAAGGAAACCACAACACAGCAGAAAAUCCUCGUGGGAAAGAGGAAAAAUACAUGCUGUGACUGUGGAAAACGCUUCUCUAGCAGCUCACACCUUUCUGUUCAUCAGAGAAUCCACACAGGGGAGAGGCCCUAUGAAUGCAGGGAGUGUGGGAAAAGCUUCACUAGC